GACGAACGCUGGCGGCGUGCUUAACACAUGCAAGUCGAACGGAAAGGCCGGGAGUUUGCGGGGUGCGGGAGAGGGGAAAAGGGGAGUAAAACGCGAGUAAAAUGUGCUUGAAACUGGGGUAACAUCAGGGAAAAGGGGCUCAUAUAGGAUAGGCGCCGCGGCAGCACGGCGGGGGCUGGAAAGAUUCGGCGGUUGGGGAUGGACUCGCGGCUUAUCAGCUUGUUGGUGGGGUAGUGGCGUACCAAGGCUUUGACGGGUAGCCGGCCUGAGAGGGUGACCGGCCACAUUGGGACUGAGACACGGCCCAGACUCCUACGGGAGGCAGCAGUGGGGAAUAUUGCACAAUGGGCGGAAGCCUGAUGCAGCAACGCCGCGUGCGGGAUGACGGCCUUCGGGUUGUAAACCUCUUUCGCCUGUGACGAAGCGAGAGUGACGGUAAUUGGUAAAGAAGCACCGGCUAACUACGUG
rnacentral:rRNA from 1 species